AAAACCUUAUCUCUUUCAAUUCUUUUCAUCUUCCUCAUUCAAUUCCUCCAUCUUCCUCAUUUAACUUCUUCAUCUUCUUCAUUCAAUUUCACCAUUAACAACCUUACAAAGUUUCAAGUGUGAGUUGUACAGUCUGCAGUUUUGUUGGUUUUAUCAUGUCUUAAGCUCAUCCAGAUACGCGUCACUAUCCUCCCUCGUAUGAAAACCCUACACCAUCAUCUUUUCCACAAACAGAGACCUGGAUAAAGAGAGAGAGAGAAAUAUGGAGAAAGAGAGUUACAGCUACAGUUUCACUUACCAGCUGGGCGAUGGUGGUGUUAUCACGGGGCAGCGGCAUUCGCGAGUUGAAGUGGGUUUACGGUGAAGAUUUUGCGGCUCAUCUCGAGGCAAGCAGUGAUAGAUGUCGAAAGGACGGGGGUUGGUGUUACUGCUGAGGCUUAGAGCAUAUUUAAUGGUUUGUCGAAAAUGCAUCUAUCCCUUUGUCUGAUAAAUCAUAGAGAUGAGAGCGACUUUGGUAUUACUCUCACUCUCGCCUUCAUCCUUCGUCGGGAUGAGCUAAUUUGGUUAUUUGUUUUUUUCUUCAUAGAUGGAAUGGAACACAAUAGUUGCCCUGUUGUGAGCCUUACUUAUAUUGCACUAUUAUGUGUAUUAUAACGUAGUUUGUUAUGUAUUCACAAAUGAUUGUAAUUUGACGGGUUUAUUUCUGAAUUGGAUGUCUACGGGUUUAUUUUAGAUUUAAAUAUGUAUUGUUUUGGUUUGAUUUGAAAA